rnacentral:sRNA from 1 species
CCGCCCGUGAGUGGAGGUGCUGCCCUGGGCACUCAGGAGUGAGCUGCGAGGAAGUUGCAGGUUCCUCUGCCUCCUUGGAGCCCAUGUGGUCGGGCAGUACCAUGCGGCGGAUGGCGAUUCGGCCCACAGCCUUCUCAGAGACUGAAGGGUUCUGAGGGGAAGCCUAGGACCCUUGGCCCUGGCCCCAGCUUCCUCCCUCCCCGCAGGUUGUCUCAACUGCAGCAAAGUGUCAGAGCUGACAGAGCGGCUGAAGGUGCUGGAGGCCAAGAUGGCCAUGCUGACUGUCAUAGAGCAGCCAGUACCUCCAACACCAGCUACCCCUGAGGACCCUGCCCCGCUCUGGGGCCCCCCUCCUGCCCAGGGCAACCCCGGAGAUGGAGGCCUCCAGGACCAAGUCGGUGCUUGGGGGCUUCCCGGGCCCACCGGCCCCAAGGGAGAUGCCGGCAGUCGGGGCCCAAUGGGGAUGAGAGGCCCACCAGGUCCACAGGGCCCCCCAGGGAGCCCUGGCCGGGCUGGAGCUGUGGGCACCCCUGGAGAGAGGGGACCUCCUGGGCCACCAGGGCCUCCUGGCCCCCCUGGGCCCCCAGCACCUGUUGGGCCACCCCAUGCCCGGAUCUCCCAGCAUGGAGACCCAUUGCUGUCCAACACCUUCACUGAGACCAACAACCACUGGCCCCAGGGACCCACUGGGCCUCCAGGCCCUCCAGGGCCCAUGGGUCCCCCUGGGCCUCCUGGCCCCACAGGUGUCCCUGGGAGUCCUGGUCACAUAG